rnacentral:rRNA from 1 species
CCUACGGGGGGCUGUAGUGGGGAAUAUUGGGCAAUGGGCGCAAGCCUGACCCAGCAACGCCGCGUGAAGGAAGAAGGCUUUCGGGUUGUAAACUUCUUUUAUCAGGGACGAAGCAAGUGACGGUACCUUAUGAAUAAGCCACUGCUAACUACGUGCCAGCAGCCGCGGUACUACGUAGGUGGCAAGCGUUAUCCGGAUUUACUGGGUGUAAAGGGCGUGUAGGCGGGAGUGCAAGUCAGAUGUGAAAACUAUGGGCUCAACCCAUAGCCUGCAUUUGAAACUGUACGUCUUGAGUGCUGGAGAGGCAAUCGGAAUUCCGUGUGUAGCGGUGAAAUGCGUAGAUAUACGGAGGAACACCAGUGGCGAAGGCGGAUUGCUGGACAGUAACUGACGCUGAGGCGCGAAAGCGUGGGGAGCAAACAGGAUUAGAUACCCUUGUAGUC